CAGCCCUGAGCCUGCCCCUUCACAUCCCCCGCUGCUGGGUCUGUUUAGGGACUCCUCUGUCCCCCGUCCUCUCAGCAGGCAGGGAACUUCUGAGGGACAGGUCUUCGUUUGCUUUUUCUGUUUUCUCACCAAUUACAUAGGGCUGAGACCCAGGACUCAGGCUUGGGCUGGGGGUUUAUAGAGUCAAUUGACAAGUUGGACAGAGGCCUGGCAGGGCCAGCCCCACCUGGGGGUGGGCAAAGCAGGUCACCAGAGCCUUCUUUCCUGCCCACAGGACAGCCACUCACUGGUGGGAGCAACCGGGUGUGGAGGCCCGCACCCUGCUCAAGCUCUAUGGAAUCCGCUUUGACAUCCUCGUCACCGGGCAGGUAGGCACAGGCAGGGAAGUUCGGGCUCAUCCCCACGGCCGUCACACUGGGCACCGGGGCAGCUUGGCUGGGCGUGGUCACCUUUUUCUGUGACCUGCUACUGCUGUAUGUGGAUAGAGAAGCCCAUUUCUACUGGAGGACAAAGUAUGAGGAGGCCAAGGCCCCGAAAGCAACCACCAACUCUGUGUGGAGGGAGCUGGCCCUUGCAUCCCAAGCCCGACUGGCCGAGUGCCUCAGACAGAGCUCAGCACCUGCACCCAUGGCCACUGCUGCUGGGAGUCAGACACAGACACCAGGAUGGCCCUGUCCAAGUUCUGACACCCACUUGCCAACCCAUUCCGGAAGCCUGUAGCCGUUCCCUGCUGGUUGAGAGUUGGGGGCUGGGAAGGGCGGGGCCCUGCCUGGGGAUCUCAAGGAUGAGGCCCCAGCAUGGAGGAUUGGGGGUAGAAUUCCACCCUUGAACCCCAGCAGACAGUCCCUCCCCUGACUCCCACCUUGGUAGGGUGCUGCCUCAGGGAGCCAUAGAAGUCGGCUGUGUUUUGAGACGGCGACAGAACCUGACCCGUGGAGACUGGGAGAGCCCAGCAGGCACCUGUAUUGCAGGGCUCCGACUGCAUGUGGCAGGGGCUCCUGCUGCGUCUGGGCCUGGAGGUCUCUCUCCCAGUGCUCUGUCCCCAGUGUUCCUAGCAGAGGUAUGCUUACCAGCUGUCAGCACAGACCCUCCUGCUGCCUGGGUCCUGGCCCUCCUCCCCCAUCUGCACCCCCAUCAUAGGUAGAGACCCCACCCUCCCAUCGGUCCUACAUGGGGCUGUGCAGCUGGAGCCAAAAAGGCAAGGUAGAAAGAGAAGUGAUGGGGGAGGGGGAUUGUUUCAGCUUCUCUGGUGCUGUGAUGCCCCAGGAGAGUCCUAAUCUAGGGAAUGGGGUGGAGUAGGCAGAUAAUCCACCUCCCUAUCCCCCAGGCAAGGGCGGAGCAUGUGUCUUGGGCCCACACCUGCUCAGUUUAUGAGGACCGGCUGCUUUCCAGUGGUAGCCCUUUUGCCAUGGAGGUCUGGGAGAGAGCAGAGGGCGGCAGGGCUAAGUUGGUGAUCAUUGGGUUCUUCAGGACCUUCUAUAUCCCUCCUCGGUGACCCCCCAGCCCAACCCCUUGGAAUCUUUCCUCCAGGCUUCCUGAGAGCCCUGGGGGUGGGAGGCUGUGGGAGGCUGUACAUCUGAAAUUCACUUCAGUCCAAGUCAUACCUAGGAAGCUGUCUGGGCAGCUGCUCAAGGGAGGCCCUGGCUCUGAUCCCAGGCUGGAUGGAGUGGCUGGAAGGAAUGGUUCCAAACAACACCACCGAGAUCUCCCUCAGGCUGGCCAGGUUUUGCAGCUGGAAUUCUCCUCUUGGUCCCAGGGUGGGGCAGGGAAUUCUAAGUGUCCACCCCAGGGAGGCAAGGGGCUGCUUUCCACUGUGGGUACCUGGUGAUCAGGGCAAGCUGUGGAGGGCCAGGGGUGGGGCUGAGACUGGGCUGACAUCUAGAAUCACCUGCCACCUGGAGCCUCAGUAAAAUGCCUGGGGUCCCUGCUGCCUCUCAAUCUCCAGAGCCAUGUCCAUGGGGAGGUGGGCUCUGAAGGGCAAAGGUGGGAGAGCAUGGCCCCUGAGGCCUGGGUAUCCAAGGAGGGGCACGUGCACCUGAUUCUCCUUGGGGCCCAGAGGAAGCUGAUGUCAUGGCUGGACAAAGUCACGGAGUAAAGCCAGCAAAG
rnacentral:lncRNA from 1 species